CUGAUUAAUUCUGUGAAAACAUCUAAACCCUCUCGCACAUCUCCCUUCUAUUUGCCGACUGCGGCGGAGAUCCAGGUCCGGCGGGAGGCCGCCGACGUGUGUGGCCCCUCCCCCAACUACUCCGCCACCUAGCCAUCUGGAUCCACAUCCUAGGCACCCGACGUCGCGCUCCACAUCAUCGUCCAGGGCCUAGCCACCUCCGCCAUGGUCUCCUCCACUGGAGCACUACCCGACCUUCACCGUGCUGGACUACGGCGGAUUGGUGACUGGGCGGAGACCCGCAGCACGGACGUGUUCGAGAUGAGUCAGCUGGAUGGCCGCACGUGCCAGGUCUUCUUCCUCAACCCCGACGAUGGAUGAUGCUCUGACAAAGAGAAGUAUCAGGAGUACAUAUGGAGAGAAUAACCGCUUAGCAGAGGCUUCCCUUGCAUACAGCUGCAGGAGUGAAACACAUUUGUUUGCACGAUAGUUUAAUUCCUUUGUUGUCGGUCAUGUACUAUAAAUUGUCCUAUUAUGUUAAUCAUUUGCUUUGCAUGUAUGUGGAUUAGAGUGGACCAGAAAUAGAAUACCUUGGUGAAAUUCAUUUUCACCGUCCUAUAUAGAUGUGCUUAUUACCAGAGAUAAGCUGACUUUAAUUUAGUGCUGCACAAUUUGUAUAAAUGAAAUUAGUAGCUUUCUUGUUUAA